rnacentral:rRNA from 1 species
CGAUGAACUCACUAGUGAUUUCCGGUUGAUCCUGGCGGAGGACGGCGUGCACUGGGGCGACGGCUUCCACCGCAUUGGCGUCAUCGUCAACGAGCGAGACCCAA